UGUUAGGGCCCGGGGUAGCUGCUUGGCCAUCCGUACUCUCUCUCCUUCUACAUCCACCAACCGAUCUUGUGCUCACGGCUCUGCUUCUUCAGGAUCCGUGCUUUACGAGAACAUUGUUGGCGAUUAAACUUCAAAAUACCAGUGGUAGACACGAUUUUAACAAUAAUUUUUGCACACAUUUGUACUUUUAGUUUAAUAAAUUAUUAUUAUUACGCAAAUGUAAUCGGUGUAUAGUUACAGCAAAUUUGGGAUAAGCGUGGAAUGAAAUAAAUCUUUGAUCUCGCCGGAUUCGGCACGAUUGAGAGUGGUAAA